UGUCUCUGUAAAGUGUGCCCGCUAAAGA
rnacentral:sRNA from 1 species